rnacentral:rRNA from 1 species
UACGUAGGGAGCAAGCGUUGUUCGGAUUUACUGGGCGUAAAGGGCGCGUAGGCAGCAAAUUAAGUCAGCUGUGAAAUCUCCGAGCUUAACUCGGAACGGUCAGCUGAUACUGAUCUGCUAGAGUGCGGAAGGGGCAAUCGGAAUUCUUGGUGUAGCGGUGAAAUGCGUAGAUAUCAAGAGGAACACCUGAGGUGAAGACGGGUUGCUGGGCCGACACUGACGCUGAGUGCGCGAAAGCCAGGGGAGCAAACGGG